rnacentral:rRNA from 1 species
UACGUAGGGGGCAAGCGUUGUCCGGAUUUAUUGGGCGUAAAGAGCGUGUAGGCGGCCACACAGGUCAGCCUGUGAAAACUCGAGGCUCAACCUCGAGACGUCGAUGGAAACCAUCUAGCUAGAGUCCGGAAAGAGGAGGAGUGGAAAUUCCUGGUGUAGCGGUGAAAUGCGCAGAUAUCAGGAAGAACACCCGUGGCGAAGGCGGCUCUCUGGUACGUGACUGACGCUGAGACGCGAAAGCGUGGGGAGCGAACAGG